rnacentral:rRNA from 1 species
GAAAGGCCAAUCAAACCGGGAAAUAGCUCGUACUCCCCGAAAUGUUUUUAGGAACAGCGUCGGUGUUGAGUCUUGUCGAGGUAGAGCUACCAAUUGGAUGCGGGGGAGUCACAUCCUACCAAAUUCAGAUGAACUCCGAAUGCGAUAAGAUAUAACCGGCAGUGAGGGCUCGGGUGCUAAGGUCCGAGUCCAAGAGGGAAAGAACCCAGAUCUACAGCUAAGGUCUCUAAAUCUAUACUAAGUUGAACUAAGGAAGUCUGACUGCAGAGACAGCCAGGA